CACGUAGGGACCAAGCGUUGUCCGGAUUUAUUGGGCGUAAAGAGCUCGUAGGCGGUUUCGUAAGUUGGUUGUGAAACCUCCAGGCUUAACUUGGAGCAUGCAGCCAAUACUACGAUGACUUGAGUUCGGUAGGGGAGCGGGGAAUUCCUGGUGUAGCGGUGAAAUGCGCAGAUAUCAGGAGGAACACCGGUGGCGAAGGCGCCGCUCUGGGCCGAAACUGACGCUGAGGAGCGAAAGCGUGGGUAGCAAACAGG
rnacentral:rRNA from 1 species